rnacentral:rRNA from 1 species
UACGUAGGGUGCGAGCGUUGUCCGGAAUUAUUGGGCGUAAAGAGCGUGUAGGCGGCCCGGUAAGUCCGCUGUGAAAGUCGGGGGCUCAACCCUCGAAUGCCGGUGGAUACUGUCGGGCUAGAGUGCGGAAGAGGCGAGUGGAAUUCCUGGUGUAGCGGUGAAAUGCGCAGAUAUCAGGAGGAACACCAAUUGCGAAGGCAGCUCGCUGGGACGUAACUGACGCUGAGACGCGAAAGCGUGGGGAGCAAACAGG